rnacentral:rRNA from 1 species
UACGUGGGUCCCGAGCGUUGUCCGGAUUUAUUGGGCGUAAAGCGGGCGCAGGUGGUUUAUUAAGUCUGGUGUAAAAGGCAGUGGCUCAACCAUUGUAUGCAUUGGAAACUGGUAGACUUGAGUGCAGGAGAGGAGAGUGGAAUUCCAUGUGUAGCGGUGAAAUGCGUAGGUAUAUGGAGGAACACCGGUGGCGAAAGCGGCUCUCUGGCCUGUAACUGACACUGAGGCUCGAAAGCGUGGGGAGCAAACAGG